ACAUCCCUUCGCGAAAACAACGUCGGCAUUUCUCAAAGAUAACCCCGCAUCAUCCGCGCGCCCUGCCGAAAUCGCUGCAUUUCUCAAAGACAAUACCUUUAUCGAUCACGUCAAGCUCUCCGACGCCAACCCCGACAUCAUCCGAACUUUUUCCAGCAGCCUAUGUCGCCUCCAACCUCGCUCCCUUUUACCCCGCCGCCAACAUCUCCCUCGUCUCCUAGGUAACGAGGUCCUCGCAACCCUUGACCGUAAUCUCAUCUCCUACCUCGUCCUUGCCAUGCGAUCCCUUUCUGUAGCGCUAAUCUCCGUCGGUUUCUCUGAGAUUCGCGUCUCAACGCCGCACUCGCUCGGGAUCCUCUCUGCUUCCAAGCCUCCUUCCGUCGGCCACUUCCGUCGCGGCUAAAACUCCUUGAGUCACAUUUUCUCAUAAAAGAGGUAACGAGUGAAGACAAGGAAGGACGUGUAGUAGAUCCUGACUCUGACCUAACAAAUGCUAAAGCAAACAAUGAUCCAUCCACAAAGUUAACUCUUGAUAAGAGAUGCAAGGCUCAGAAAAAGGUGGAGGAUAAGGGCUUGAUUGACGAUGAUGAAUUUGAGGAGAAAGCAAUUGGAUCCUUUGUAAGAAUAAGGAUUUCUGGGUUGGGACAAUGGCAAGACAUGUACCGAUUGGUCCAAGUUAUCGCAAAGCUACAAAACAAUACAAAAGUGGAAAGGGGGCAACUGAUGUAACACUUGAGAUACUGAAUUUAAACAAGGAGGACAUUAUUACGAUUGGUAUCAUCUCGAAUCAGGAGUUUACCGUGGGCCAAUGGGAGGAAAAGGCUAGCAAAUAGGAGGUUCCUUUACUAAAGGGAGGUACGUACAAGAAAGCUUGUAACUAUUAGUAGUGCUAAAGAGCUUGAGAAGUUGGGCCCAAAUAAAGGUGUCAUAAGUCAGUGAAGGAAUGUUUUGCUAAGCUUAGUAGAUGAUGAUCUUAUUAUGAAGGACAAAAUAGGCACUUCUGUGAGUUUAUUUUUCAUCAUACAAUCCAAGAAGGAUUUUUUGCUUGUGUAUAGACUUAACAGGGGUACAAAGUUAAUUUAUGGAUUAUGUAUAUAUAUUUUUUGUU